UACGUAGGGGGCAAGCGUUGUCCGGAAUCAUUGGGCGUAAAGAGCGUGUAGGCGGUUCGGUAAGUCGGGUGUGAAAACUUUGGGCCCAACCCAAAGCCUGCAUUCGAUACUGCUGUGACUUGAGUCCGGUAGGGGAGUGGGGAAUUCCUGGUGUAGCGGUGGAAUGCGCAGAUAUCAGGAGGAACACCGGUGGCGAAGGCGCCACUCUGGGCCGGUACUGACGCUGAGGAGCGAAAGCGUGGGGAGCGAACAGG
rnacentral:rRNA from 1 species